CAGAGGUCCCAAGCGUUGUUCGGAUUCACUGGGCGUAAAGGGUGCGUAGGUGGUGAGGUAAGUCGGAUGUGAAAGCUCCGAGCUCAACUCGGAAAUGGCAUUGGAAACUACCUUGCUCGAGGGUUUGAGGGGGGACUGGAAUACUUGGUGUAGCAGUGAAAUGCGUAAAUAUCAAGUAGAACACCAGUGGCGAAGGCGAGUCCCUGGAAAACUCCUGACACUGAGGCACGAAAGCUAGGGGAGCAAACAGGAUUAGAUACCCUGGUAGUCCUAGCCGUAAACGGUGCGUAUUUGCUGUAAAAGGAAUCGACCCCUUUUGUGGCGUAGCCAACGCGUUAAAUACGCCGCCUGGGAAGUACGGUCGCAAGAUUA
rnacentral:rRNA from 1 species